CUCAUUAACACGUAGUCAACCUGCCCUGGAGACAUGGAAAACCCCGGGAAACUGGGAUUAAUCCGUGAUAGGUCAUCUCAUCUGGAAAGAGAGAUGGCUUAAAGGGGUGCGAGAGCUUCUUUUUCGUAUCCGCUCCAGGAUGGGACUGCGACCGAUCAGGCUGUUGGCGGGGUAAUGGCCCACCAAACCUGUAACCGGUACGGGCCUUGAGAGAGGGGGCCCGGAGAUGGACACUGAGAGAAGGGUCCAGGUCCUACGGGGCGCAGCAGGCGCGAAACCUUCGCAAUGCGCGAAAGCGUGACGAGGUUAAUCCGAGUGGUCCCCGCUGAGGGGAUCUUUUGCCGGCUGUAAAAAGGCCGGUGAAUAAGGGGAGGGCAAGUCUGGUGUCAGCCGCCGCGGUAAUACCAGCUCCUCGAGUGGUCGGGGCGAUUAUUGGGCCUAAAGCAUCCGUAGCCUGUUCUGUAGGUCUCCCGUUAAAUCCAGCGGCUUAACCGUUGGUCGGCGGGGGAUACCGCAGGACUAGGAGGCGGGAGAGGUGGGCGGUACUCCACGUGUAGGGGUAAAAUCCUUUGAUCCGUGGAAGA
rnacentral:rRNA from 1 species